rnacentral:lncRNA from 1 species
GCGGAGCUGCUGCGACGGCGGAGGCGGACUGCGACGGUGGUAGGAGGGGUUGGGCGGCGCGGUGGAGGCAGACACCGAAGAAAGAAGGGGAUGGUGGCUUCGGCCGGUGGAGCGGAAGCGGCGAAGGGUGGGCGGCGCGCGGCGGAGCUCGGCGGCGGCACGGGUGGAGCGGCGCUCAAGGGCGGCGGCGCGGCGUGCGGCCGGAGAAGACGAACAGAGGUAGGUUUUUUUUUUCUCUUUUUUUAACUCAGACCCGUUAGGAUUCGGGUUAACGGGUUUGACCCGCUCCGAAAACCCAUUAAGGGUCCAUCACGUGCAAGUCACAUGCGUAGCUUUUUUU